UACGUAGGCAGCAAGCGUUGUUCGGAGUUACUGGGCGUAAAGCGUGCGUAGGCGGUGCUCCAAGUCUGUUGUGAAAUCUCCCGGCUUAACUGGGAGGGUGCGGUGGAAACUGGGGUGCUUGAGUAUGGGAGAGGUAAGCGGAAUUCCUGGUGUAGCGGUGAAAUGCGUAGAUAUCAGGAGGAACACCGGUGGUGUAGACGGCUUACUGGACCAUGACUGACGCUGAGGCACGAAAGCGUGGGUAGCAAACAGG
rnacentral:rRNA from 1 species